UGUCCUGCUCCAUAUCCCAAGUAUGCCUGGGCUUGAGUUCACAAACUGAUGGCCGGACGUUCUCCCUCAGGAUUUUCUGGUACAGACCAGAAUUCCAUCAGUUACGGUAACUGAUCCAGGUCCUAAAGCAGCGAAACCUCAGACCAUCACCCUACCAACACCAUGUUUGACGAUCAAACUGAACCAGAGACAGAUGAUCGCAGUGCCUACAGAGGAGUGCUGCCUCCGUCUCUACAGGCCCUGUGAGCAGUGUGAAGUCCAGUCGUAGUGACAGAUAGGCAGCUGGAGUGACGGACCGUGGACUUAUCUAACAGGCUCAUUCACAGAGGUCAGAGGGAGGAGCUGCCUGACAACAGGACAGGAAAGUCAAGACUGAAAAGAUGGGGGAGGGAGAGAGUGGAGGUCAUGCAGCAAACCCAGCCACUCAGCUUAGCCCUCAAUGCUGUAGCAUUAAUGCUACACCAGGUGAACUACCUGUGCACACAUCCGGGCGCCAGAAUAAGGAUGUCCUAUCGGCCUGGGGACGAGGCAAAAUAUGCUUUGGAAAUAUUUCCUGUGAUGAUACCAGGAUGGGAAUUUUAUGUGUAUGUUUUGGGCUUUAAUAACUUUAUGCUGACAGGAGGACAGCGGAAAGAGUCAGAAACAGGGAUGAGAGAGUGGUGGAGAGACCUGCAGGAAAGGAGCCGCAGGCCAGCCGCGUACCGCAUAGCCGACCUGACUGCCAGUGAAAGAGCAGAACUUCUGAUGAUAUUUCUAUGGUUGCAAUGAAUGCCACCACUGAUUGUCAUCUUAAAUAACCAGCUCCAAAUACAACAGUUUCAAUACAGGCCCAUGAAAUAAAAAUAAACCUUGAG